rnacentral:rRNA from 1 species
AAGCAACGCGAAGAACCUUACCAGGUCUUGACAUCCCUCUGAAUACGGUAGAGAUAUCGUAGGCCUUCGGGACAGAGGAGACAGGUGGUGCAUGGUUGUCGUCAGCUCGUGUCGUGAGAUGUUGGGUUAAGUCCCGCAACGAGCGCAACCCUUGAUCUUAGUUGCCAGCAGGUAAGGCUGGGCACUCUAAGAUGACUGCCGGUGACAAACCGGAGGAAGGUGGGGAUGACGUCAAAUCAUCAUGCCCCUUAUGACCUGGGCUACACACGUACUACAAUGGCCGGUACAACGGGAAGCGAAGUCGCGAGACGGAGCCAAUCCUUAUAAGCCGGUCUCAGUUCGGAUUGCAGGCUGCAACUCGCCUGCAUGAAGUCGGAAUUGCUAGUAAUCGCGGAUCAGCAUGCCGCGGUGAAUACGUUCCCGGGUCUUGUACACACCGCCCGUCACACCACGAGAGUUUACAACACCCGAAGUCGGUGGGGUAACCGCAAGGGGCCAGCCGCCGAAGGUGGG